ensembl:lncRNA GFOD3P Gfo/Idh/MocA-like oxidoreductase domain containing 3, pseudogene
CUCCAGCCCCCGCUGCACGCGGAAGCGCUCAUCCUCCCCGCCUGCCCCGUUCCCUCCCCCUUCUCCUGUGGGACAACCAGGGACCGCAGCUCCCCGCUCCCCAGGUGUGGGGGCUCCGACACGAACGCCUCUGCUCGCAGGGCGGUGAGCGCAGAUCCCACGGGUCCCUCGGUCGGGGGUCGAGGCUGCUUCCGUUUCCAUCCCGGACCCGACAAUGGGCGGGAAAAAGAAGGCUUUACACGACUACGCGGCGGAGUUCACCGACCUGGUGGUGAAGCACCUGAUUGAGCACAGUGACUCUGGGGACACGUCUGUGGUGGAGACCCUUUACUGCAGGGCCUGCGAGCUGCCCGUGCGCGUGCGGAGGGACCGCAUCCUGGAACACCUGUCCUCGGGCAGGCAGCACGGCCUGCGGACGCCCAUUCUCAUGUAAAUGUCAGUGCCAACGCUGGUGUUUCAGGAGUCAUCCCAGCGGGCUGCGGGCUAUUUUAGGAUUCUCUGCCCUGCAAACGUUUCCAAAGUACGUGGACAGGCCGCCUGAUGACACUACGUUUACGGGAUCUGCUAGUGGCUUGCCUACUUAGGGAGUAAACCCUGUGAAGUCUCGCAGUUUUGUUAAAGUGUGCGUGGCCACCUGAAUGCUGCCUUAUCACAAGCCAGAUACAUACUGGUCUGUAGGGUAACUCCCCACUGUUGAUCCUCUGAGAUGAUUGUGGACUGGGUGCUGUGAGUCCUGCCACUUUGUUUAAGUGAAUGUGUCUUUUGUCCAGCUCAGCCGCCUCGGAUCUCGCUGCCACCAGCCUUACUGCACACCCGUGCCACCCGCCCUUGCCCCGUCAGCCUCAGCCUCAGCUCAUUCUCUCAGGCAGUCCCAGCAUUGGCACGGUACCUCCUCCCGCUGUGGGCCACACGUCUCUGCUCCCUGUCAACCCUCCUGCCAUCAGCACCACCACCAGCGACUUGUCUGCCCGGGAGGAUGCAACACCAUCUGCCUCCACCGGCCACCUUUCAGUGUUUCCUGCUUUCCAAGUAAAGAUACCAGCAGUGCCCUCAGAGCAGACCAGCCAGAGUUUUUCUGAAGCCUCCCACAGGGUGCUCCCCGGAGGAGGCCCGAGAUGCUCUCGUGACUUUGGAGCCGGGGUGGCUGGCCACCUUGGCCUGGGCAUCUUUGGGGUGGGCUUCGGGAGCCCGGCACUGCUGCAGAGUGUGGUGGAUGAGAACAGCUGCUGCUUGCUGUACGUGGUGGAGGACCAGCUGUGUGAUGUGGAGCAAGCCUUCAGAGCUGAGCAUUUGGGCCAACACCAGAGUGGUUCGGGAACAGGAUGCAGACAUUGUCCUCAACGACCAGCGGCACUUUGAUCCGGUUUUCCAGUUCUUGCACAAGCAAGUUUGUGUCAGCCACGCCCUGGGGAGGAUCCACUGGAUCACCGCCGUCACUGCCUGUUCCCGGCGGCCUCUCCGGCUUCCCUAAAGAGAGCAGCUUCCCUCGAGACCAGAAGCCAGAGCUCACCCUCCCUUGUGUCCAGGUGGGACUUUCUACAACGCUGCUGUGCACGACGUGGAUGCCGUAUGCAUGUUGCUGGGGGAAGCCACUCCGGACACUGUGUUUUCUCUGGGACAUGUCUUCUGCCCAGGUUGCAAAGGUGAAGAAACACAGUCCCGGCUGGAAGUCACAGCCAGGGUGGGAUGCACACAGAUUAGCAGAUCAUCAGCGAGCACCAGAUAUGGCCGCCUUAAAAGAUGCAGAUGCUGUUGUGAUCAGCAUGAAGUUUCCCUGUGAGGCCGUGGUUAGCGUGGACAUCAGCCAGCACUGCACAGACAGCUGCGACCAGGACGUCAGCCAGCACUGCACAGACAGCUGCGACCAGAGACUGGAGGUGACCCUUGCCCUUUUCCACCCUUCGCCAGUCCACUGUGAAAAGCUGGGUUGAUUGUGCGGGUUAGAUAGAGGUCAUCAGCCGGGUUGAUUGUGUGGGUUAGACAGAGGUCAUCAGCCAGGUUGAUUGUGUGGGUUAGAUAGAGAUCAUCAGCCUGGUAGAUUGUGUGGGUUAGAUAGAGGUCAUCAGCCAGGUUGAUUGUGCGGGUUAGAUAGAGAUCAUCAGCCGGGUUGAUUCUACAGGUUAGAUAGAGGUCGUCAGCCGGGUUGAUUGUGCGGGUUAGAUAGAGAUCAUCAGCCGGGUUGAUUGUGCGGGUUAGAUAGAGGUCAUCAGCUGGGUUGAUUGUGUGGGUUAGAUAGAGAUCAUCAGCUGGGUUGAUUGUGUGGGUUAGAUAGAGGUCGUCAGCUGGGUUGAUUGUGCGGGUUAGAUAGAGGUCAUCAGCCGGGUUGAUUCUACAGGUUAGAUAGAGGUCAUCAGCUGGGUUGAUUGUGCGGGUUAGAGAUCAUCAGCCGGGUUGAUUGUGCGGGUUAGAUAGAGGUCAUCAGCCGGGUUGAUUGUGCGGGUUAGAUAGAGAUCAUCAGCUGGGUUGAUUCUGCAGGUUAGAUAGAGGUCAUCAGCUGGGUUGACUAUGUGGGUUAGAUAGAGGUCGUCAGCCGGGUUGAUUGUGUGGGUUAGACAGAGGUCAUCAGCUGGGUUGAUUCUGCGGGUUAGAUAGAGGUCAUCAGCUGGGUUGAUUGUGUGGGUUAGAUAGAGAUCAUCAGCUGGGUUGAUUGUG